rnacentral:tRNA from 1 species
GGGGAUUUAGCUCAGUGGCGUAAGCACCUGCCUUGCAAGCAGGUGGUCGUGAGUUCGAUCCCUG